rnacentral:rRNA from 1 species
UACGGAGGGUGCGAGCGUUGUCCGGAAUCACUGGGCGUAAAGGGCGCGUAGGCGGCGCGAGCAGUCGGCGGUGAAAGCCCGGGGCUCAACUCCGGGUCGGCCGUCGAUACUCUCGUGCUUGAGCACUGUAGAGGCAGAUGGAAUUCCGGGUGUAGCGGUGGAAUGCGUAGAGAUCCGGAAGAACACCGGUGGCGAAGGCGGCCUGCUGGGCA